rnacentral:rRNA from 1 species
UUGAACGCUGGCGGCAUGCUUUACACAUGCAAGUCGAACGGCAGCACGGGGGCAACCCUGGUGGCGAGUGGCGAACGGGUGAGUAAUGCAUCGGAACGUACCCAGUCGUGGGGGAUAACGCAGCGAAAGUUGUGCUAAUACCGCAUACGACCCGAGGGUGAAAGCGGGGGACCGUAAGGCCUCGUGCGAUUGGAGCGGCCGAUGUCUGAUUAGCUAGUUGGUGGGGUAAAGGCCCACCAAGGCGACGAUCAGUAGCGGGUCUGAGAGGAUGAUCCGCCACACUGGGACUGAGACACGGCCCAGACUCCUACGGGAGGCAGCAGUGGGGAAUUUUGGACAAUGGGGGCAACCCUGAUCCAGCCAUGCCGCGUGCGGGAAGAAGGCCUUCGGGUUGUAAACCGCUUUCGGACGGAAAGAAAUCGCAUGGACUAAUACUCUGUGUGGAUGACGGUACCGUAAGAAGAAGCACCGGCUAACUACGU